rnacentral:rRNA from 1 species
GCCAGCAGCCGGGUAACACCGGCGGCCCGAGUGGUGAUCGUGAUUAUUGGGUCUAAAGGGUCCGUAGCCGGUUUGGUCAGUCCUCCGGGAAAUCUGAUAGCUCAACUAUUAGGCUUUCGGGGGAUACUGCCAGACUUGGAACCGGGAGAGGUAAGAGGUACUACAGGGGUAGGAGUGAAAUCUUGUAAUCCCUGUGGGACCACCUGUGGCGAAGGCGUCUUACCAGAACGGGUUCGACGGUGAGGGACGAAAGCUGGGGGCACGAACCGGAUUAGAUACCCGGGUAGUCCCAGCCGUAAACGAUGCUCGCUAGGUGUCAGGCAUGGCGCGACCGUGUCUGGUGCCGCAGGGAAGCCGUGAAGCGAGCCACCUGGGAAGUACGGCCGCAAGGCUGAAACUUAAAGGAAUUGGCGGGGGAGCACAACAACGGGUGGAAGCCUGCGGUUUAAUUGGACUCAACGCCGGACAACUCACCGGGGGCGACAGCAAUAUGUAGGCCAAGCUGAAGACUUUGCCUGAAUCGCUGAGAGGAGGUGCAUGG